UGAGUAACACGUGGGUAACCUGCCCAUCAGAAGGGGCUAACACUUGGAAACAGGUGCUAAUACCGUAUAACAAUCAAAACCGCAUGGUUUUGAUUUGAAAGGCGCUUUCGGGUGUCGCUGAUGGAUGGACCCGCGGUGCAUUAGCUAGUUGGUGAGGUAACGGCUCACCAAGGCCACGAUGCAUAGCCGACCUGAGAGGGUGAUCGCCACAUUGGGACUGAGACACGGCCCAAACUCCUACGGGAGGCAGCAGUAGGGAAUCUUCGGCAAUGGACGAAAGUCUGACCGAGCAACGCCGCGUGAGUGAAGAAGGUUUUCGGAUCGUAAAACUCUGUUGUUAGAGAAGAUCAAGGAUGAGAGUAACUGUUCAUCCCUUGACGGUAUCUAACCAGAAAGCCACGGCUAACUACGUGCCAGCAGCCGCGGUAAUACGUAGGUGGCAAGCGUUGUCCGGAUUUAUUGGGCGUAAAGCGAGCGCAGGCGGUUUCUUAAGUCUGAUGUGAAAGCCCCCGGCUCAACCGGGGAGGGUCAUUGGAAACUGGGAGACUUGAGUGCAGAAGAGGAGAGUGGAGUUCCAUGUGUAGCGGUGAAAUGCGUAGAUAUAUGGAGGAACACCAGUGGCGAAAGCGGCUCUCUGGUCUGUAACUGACGCUGAGGCUCGAAAGCGUGGGAGCAAACAGGAUUAGAUACCCUGGUAGU
rnacentral:rRNA from 1 species